rnacentral:rRNA from 1 species
UACGCAGGGUGCGAGCGUUAAUCGGAAUUACUGGGCGUAAAGCGUGCGCAGGCGGUUGUGCAAGACCGAUGUGAAAUCCCCGGGCUUAACCUGGGAAUGGCAUUGGUGACUGCACGGCUAGAGUGUGUCAGAGGGGGGUAGAAUUCCACGUGUAGCAGUGAAAUGCGUAGAGAUGUGGAGGAAUACCGAUGGCGAAGGCAGCCCCCUGGGAUAACACUGACGCUCAUGCACGAAAGCGUGGGGAGCAAACAGG